GUGGGACAGGUGGGACAUGGACAGGUGGGACAUGGACAGAUGAGACAGGUGGGACAGGUGGGACAUGGACAGGUGGGACGUGGACAGGUAGGACAGGUACAGGUGGGACGGGUGUGACACAGUGCCGACCCGGUGUCUCACCUGCCCCUCACCUGUCUCACCUGGGCAGGUGGGCGUGCGGCACGUGGUGG